UGUGGUUUGGCCUCUAGUUAGAGAGGUGGUGUUUCUGUAGCCCACAUGACUACAGAACAGGACUGUUGAACUCUGCACCAAAAGGAAAAGGACUGCUUAUUGUAAAGGGAGAAUUCUUAGUUCGGUGCAGAGAGAAACUGAGGCAUGACUGUGCUCAAAUGGUGAAUGAGAUAAGUGCUGUUUAACAGCCUAAUAAAAGGAAAUAAACAGGGUCACUCAACAAGGAAGAAAACCCACAAUAAAGAAAACAAGCAUGCAUCUACUCCAGAAACUCACUCAAAUAGAACAGCAAGAGUCGAAAGGGAGAACUGAGGUGCAUCGUCAAAGCUGCGUGGAGCAAAUGAUGAAGACAUCAGCCAUAGUACCCUAUGCAGCACUUCUAUCUGGUCUUGCAAGUUCUUUUCCAGGCAUUGCAAGAAAAAGUUUACUUCUCCCAUAUUGACUAUAAUGAAACGGG